rnacentral:misc_RNA from 1 species
CUCUCUAACGCCUCCCUCCAGUGUCCGGGGCCCCGGGCCUCUCUCCUAUCGCCAUUCGCCAGUGGUCUGCGGUACGUUGUGUAGGUUGGGUGUACGCCGCUGGCUCGUGUGUUCACCGACUCCACGCCUCUCCCAGCUUGAGAAGAGCGGCGGCAGAGCAUAACGAGAGUCCCUCACCGCCAGCCCGUCCCAGGCCCUCCUCCCUCCCUCCCUCCCGCCCCUCCUUCAUCCAGGGCGCGGCCGCAUCCACCACCACCACCGCCACCGUCCUUUCUGGCGCCAGCGGGAGUGGGUGUGGACGGAGUUGCGGAGUUGUCACGUGGUGUGGAGCGCAUCAGAGUAGAGUUUGUGUGUGUGAGUGGGAGUGAGUGAGAGGAAAGCCGCGUGGGAUGGACGGCCGCCUGCACCUCACCAACGGCGUGACGUGACGUGACGUGACGUGACGUAAGGCGCGCUUGUGGCCACGCACGAGACAGCCACAGCCACGCCUCCCCCAUGAACCUCACCCCGCGCAGGGCAGGUCACCACGGGAGGUGCGGCGCGCAGCGAUAGAGUGACGGUCACGGUGGUCAGUGAACAGUGUGCGCUGAGUGGCGAGCGGUGAGCGGUGAACAGUGAGCUAUGGCAGUGCCGGGCAGUGAGGACGGGGCGCUGGUGGAGGUCAACAUGCAGGAUAUCGUGCUCACGCCCCGAAGAGAGGCCCCGCCCGUGGAGGCGUCUGAGCCGAAGGCGGAGGCACACACGGAGGUGGCGGCGGCGGCGCUAACGGAGGCGGAGAAGGCAGAGAAGGUGGCGAUGGAAAAUGGCCACGUGUUGGGUGCAGAGGACGUGCCGCCACCCUACUCCCCGCCGCUCCUGACGUUGGAGAACGCGUCUGGCGCCCUGGAGAGCUACGAGGUGCCCGCCCACGUACUGGCCUUCGUGCCGCCCGACGGAGGCGUUCGGGCGUGGCUGGUGAUGCUGGCCUCCUUCCUCUGCAAUGGCAUCAUCUUCGGCAUCAUCAACACCAGCGGCAUCAUUUACGUCAAGAUCGCAGCCCACCUCAAGGAAGCCGGCGACCCCAACGCCGCCUUCAAAGGAUCUAUGAUGAUGUCGCUGGCCAUCGGAUCCACCUUCCUCUUCUCCGUGCUGGCUGGCGUGCUGACAGACUCUCUGGGCAUCAGAAUCACCACUCUCAUAGGCGGGGCGCUGUCCACGGCUGGCAUGUUCAUUUCCUCAUUCUUCGCAGACAGUGUGGAAAUACUGAUGUUCACCUACGGCAUUAUGUUCGGUGUCGGGGCGUCGCUGGCUUACACCCCUUCCCUUGUCAUCCUCGGCCACUACUUCCAGCGGAGAAUGGGCAUCGUUAACGGCUUUGUCACAGCUGGCUCUUCCAUUUUCACCAUCGGCAUGCCCUUCCUGCUCUCCUAUGUGCUGGAAAUGGGCGUGCAGACUACCUUCCAAAUGCUGGCUGGCCUCACUUCCUUCCUUAUGUUUGCGGCACUGAUCUUCAAGCCGCUCAUGCCCAUCCUGCCCCAGAGCCGUCCCCAAUAUGACAACUCCUGCCAGGGUCGCUGCAAGAGCUUCUGGUCACGCAUCAUUAACUUUGAGAUCUGGCAGAACAAGCGCUAUGUCAUCUGGGCGCUGGCCAUCCCCUCAGCUCUCUUUGGUUACUUCGUUCCCUACAUCCAUUUGGUGGCGUAUGUGAAGGAAGUGUUGGGUGAGGACAUCAACUCCCAGCUGUUAGUGCAGUGCCUGGGCAUCACCUCGCUGGUGGGGCGCCUCGUGUUUGGCAUGGUGGCAGACAGACCCUCCAUCAACCGCAUCUUCCUCCAGCAGGUUUCAUUCUUCUGCAUCGGAGCCUUCACCAUGCUGCUGACGGUGGCCAACCACAUGGCUUUCUUCAUGGUCAUUGCCCUCAUCAUGGGCCUGUUUGACGGCUGCUUCAUCUCCCUGCUGGGCCCCAUCGCCUUCGACAUUGUAGGGCCGGGCGGCGCAUCCCAGGCCAUCGGCUGUCUGCUGGCCAUCUGCUCCAUCCCUCUCACCUUUGGUCCGGCCAUUGCAGGUGCCUUGUACGACCACCUGGGGAGUUACCUGGUGCCGUUCCUGUGUGCUGGUGUGCCUCCCAUUCUCGGCUCCUUCAUCCUCUUCUCCAUCAGCUGCACCAGGAGCCUGCCUGAGGGAGUGCCAGGGUCGCCAGUGAGAGAACCACCAGAGAAGCAGAAUAAUGCCGCAGCUGUGGAUGACCCUAGGGAAACACACAGGCUCAUGACAGAGGAGCAGCAGAGUCGGGUGUAGACCAAGAGGAGGGAGGUGGAGGAGGAGGAGGCUGGGCUAGCAAACAGAGGAAAGCUCGCAGGGACUACAGAGUGAGCAACGGAGACCUGAGUGAACCAAGACCCCUUCCCAGCAGCCCUUCAGAUGAGGCGGUGAAGGUGGAUGUGCGACGGCUUGCCCUGCUGCAG